GACGAACGCUGGCGGCGUGCCUAAUACAUGCAAGUAGAACGCUGAAGAGAGGAGCUUGCUCUUCUUGGAUGAGUUGCGCACGGGUGAGUAACGCGUAGGUAACCUGCCUUGUAGCGGGGGAUAACUAUUGGAAACGAUAGCUAAUACCGCAUAACAAUGGAUGACACAUGUCAUUUAUUUGAAAGGGGCAAUUGCUCCACUACAAGAUGGACCUGCGUUGUAUUAGCUAGUAGGUGAGGUAAUGGCUCACCUAGGCGACGAUACAUAGCCGACCUGAGAGGGUGAUCGGCCAAACUGGGACUGAGACACGGCCCAGACGCCUACGGGAGGCAGCAGUAGGGAAUCUUCGGAAAUGGGGGCAACCCUGACCGAGCAACGCCGCGGGAGUGAAGAAGGUUGUCGGAUCGGAAAGCUCUGUUGUAAGUCAAGAACGGGUGUGAGAGUGGAAAGUUCACAAUGUGACGGUAGCUUAACAGAAAGGGACGGCUAACUACGUG
rnacentral:rRNA from 1 species